rnacentral:rRNA from 1 species
GACGAACGCUGGCGGCGUGCCUAAUACAUGCAAGUCGAGCGGACUAAUGGGAGCUUACUCCCGUUAGUUAGCGGCGGACGGGUGAGUAACACGUGGGCAACCUACCUGUAAGACUGGGAUAACUUCGGGAAACCGGAGCUAAUACCGGAUGACAUAAAGGAACUCCUGUUCCUUUAUUGAAAGAUUGCCUCGGCUAUCACUUACAGAUGGGCCCGCGGCGCAUUAGCUAGUUGGUGAGGUAACGGCUCACCAAGGCGACGAUGCGUGGCCGACCUGGGAGGGUGAUCGGCCACACUGGGACUGAGACACGGCCCAGACUCCUACGGGAGGCAGCAGUAGGGAAUCUUCCGCAAUGGACGAAAGUCUGACGGAGCAACGCCGCGUGAGCGAUGAAGGCCUUCGGGUCGUAAAGCUCUGUUGUUAGGGAAGAAUAAGUGCUAGUUGAAUAAGCUGGCACCUUGACGGUACCUAACCAGAAAGCCACGGCUAACUACGUGCCAGCAGCCGCCGUAAUAC